UCCUGACACAUGACAGCAAGAUGUCUGUUGGUGGGGGCCACACUAAUGGAAGUCUGAUUCACACACACAAAGAAAGCUGAAGAAACAAACAAUAUAAGAGAGCUAUGAAGAGGGCCGCUGUAGGGUAAAGGAGGCGGAGGUUACUUCAGGCCUCCAGUCUGAGGCGGAGGCAUCUGGAU